rnacentral:lncRNA from 1 species
AAAUACAAGAAAUAUACAGAGAAAGCGAAAACUGUCAUGAAAAGUUUGGAUCCCAGGCCUCUAUCAAGCAUAGAAUUAAAUGAAAUCCGAAACAAAUUAACUGAAAGUGAGAGGCUACUGGAAGAAAGAGAUAGAAAAAAUUCUUCGCAUGGAAAGUGAAAUGAAUUUGAUGUCGACAGCAUAUCAUCACAUGAUGCAAUCAAGACAGCGUGAAAAUGUUGAGCAACGCACAGCGUACUGGAACAGUAAUCCAUCCUCAUUUUUGAGUCGCAUGCGAACUCCAUCAGGACGAAGGAACAUUCAAACCUUGAACUCCAAAUGAAACUCAUCGAGCAAUAAUUACUAGAGCAUUGAAUCUCACCUUUCUCUUCUUGCCUGUGCCCUAAACAUAGUUUGAAAUGUGUCAAUUAUAAUUACAUGUCCAUUGCUGUGAACUAUUUGUCUCUUGUCAAGUGUUCGUAGCUCAAUUCAGUUUUCAUUGAGCAUCUAUGGUGUAAAAAUGUGAGCAAAUUCUUGCUGUUGCAGCCAAGGUUCACGAUUAUAAUUUAUUAAGCUUUUAAGUAGUUUGUAAAUACUCUAUUGUUACAUUUACCCAUGUUAAAAUAAUGUCUUUCAUGUUGUCAUGCCGUUAAAGAAGUUAUCUAGCGUCGGCUGGACUGGCGUGCUAAGCUAAUAUUGAUUUCAUUAUUGAAUGAUGUCUGAUAAUUGAUUCUCACGGUUUACACCUUUUAAUCGCAUGGUGGGCUUUCUCCUCAUUUCUUCUAACUUUAGAGAGUGGGAAGAUAGUCGAUCGCGCAAUCAAGUAACUAACAAGAAAAUCAUGGAAAGAAGAUAAUUGUAGAAGAAACUUACCCUAGCAUUAGCAAUUUUCAAUCGUUCCUCGUUUUUAGGAAAAAAAUCCACAUUGCAAUUUUAAAAUUCACAAUUUUAUUUUUUUUUUUCAAGACAGGAAUUGUUAUACUUUAUACAAUUGUCCUCAAAUCACAAAUUUUAGUCACAACUGAUUGUGAGAGCCAUCAAUACUUAGUAAGUAAUGUAUUACAACUGUUACUGUAAACCAAAUGUCUAGUUGAACUUUCUUUGUUUUCUGAGGUAUUUUCAUAAGUAAGAAACAUAGAAAGUGACUAAUGAAUUAGCAUAUUAUAUUUAUAUUAAUUUAAUUGUAUGUUUGUACAAAGUAUUUACCAAAACUAAGACGUUUCAUAGAAAGAACUUAAACCAAAGCAUUGUGGCCUUUUUUUGUUUUAAGUAAUCAAAAUUUCCAACCACUGAUUUCAACAUUGGUCUGAAAAGUUUACUGAAACGUCAAUAUGAAAAUUGUAUAAUAAAUAUUUCAAGAUGAUUCAUGAGUCUGGUUCUUUGUGAUAAUGAAGUGCUCUGUGAGUUCAGUCAAAACUUCGUUUGUAAGUUUAUAUAGCAGUUUUGAAUAUUUAAGUUCUCUUCUUACAACUGUGCUAAGUUUUCCACCCUCGGUAACCUUAAUGUGCAACUGCAUUUACAUGCAGUUAUGAAGUGCCCCGGCAAAUUACAGAAUAUUAUAGAAACUGCAGAUGUCAGAACCAAUGACAUAUUUCUUAACUUGGUUUUUUUUUGCUAUUCAAGCUUUCAAAGUGUCAUUGAUUCCAGGUGCAAGGGGGCAAAUGGUUGUCAGCCAAAAUGGUAAAUCUGACCCUUUUCACAUGUAAAGACCCUCCGCAGGAGAGCUUUUUUACCAUCAAGUUUUCUCUCUAUCUGUUGUUAGCACAUAGUGGAAGCAUUUCGUAGGUUCAUUGUCUCAAUGUAUUUGUUUACUAUGUGCUGCUAUUUAUGCAUAUUGUAAAAUAUUAUUUGUGCUCAAAGAGACUGAUUAAAAAUUUCUCUGAAAGUGUUACAUCAAGAAAGCAAGAUUAUACUAACUUUUUGGCUUCGCUUGAAUAGUUUAAAUUUUAUAACUGAGGGAGUAGGAAUGCCGCUGUCACUUUCUUACAACAUUUUAACUCUUUAACGUUUAAGAGGAGAGUUUUUACAACUAGAAUAUUUGCAUUACUAUUAUAAUGAGAAGCAGAUGUAUGUCUCCAUACACUUGACCAAAAAAAAUCAUAUCAGAUCUUUUUUAAUUAGUUUUACUUACGCAAUCAGCAAAUGCCCCUUGUAUACUAAUCAUCUACCGUUCUUACCCUUUUGUAUUACUUCUUUGAUCUGAUUUAAUUAUAUCGUUUUAAUUUAAUGUUUAUAGCGGUAGAAACAUUUUCCUCUGGUACCAUUAGUCUCUUGUUCCGUCGAUCUUUAUUAUUUGUAAAUCACAAGGUCUCUAAUGAUGUAAUUGUUCUCUAACAUUUUCUGGAAAAUUUAGUUUACUUUCAAUGUGCCUUAGACUGUUGUAAAUUGCCGUCUCUUAGCCCAUGUUCGCUCAUGAUACCUGCUAGAGCUCUCGCACGCCAUCUUAUGGGGAAAGAGUUUCCACAGGUGUAAUUUAAAGAAAUAACUGGUCACAAUAAAACCUUAGAGUAUCUGCGUUUUGAGCUUUGUCCCCCAGGUUUUAAAUCUAAUCAAGCCACAUGUUCACAAUUUAAUAAUGUUGCUGGCAAUAUCUGGCCAGUGUUAGGAAAAGAUAUCAAAUUGUAUUUGACGAGAGGAAAACAACUCUUUCAGAAAACCGAAGGUCUAUUUUUGCAACGAGCCAAUUUUUUGUUUCCCAAAAAAAAUUGUUUCCUUCUUUCCCAAUGUUAACCAAGCGCUGCCAUUUUCUCAGUCAAAAUCAGUCCUGCCGAGUGUCUGGAUGAUCGCUAAUUAUUGAAUUAUUUAAUUUCAGAGAAACUUUAGCAGAAAGUAUUAUAAAUACAUGAGUCUCUGAAGGCCUGUUUCUUGUUUCCUCUGUCUCAAAACCCAUUAUAAUGUUUUUUCCCCGUACCAAGUCAUUACUUAAUGUGUAUGAUUUUAAUCUGAAGAGAUGAUCUUUGGAUGCACAAAUAGACAUUUUCUCAAGUUUUUAGAAAUGAUAACAAUCCCUUUUCUUCAAAAAGUAAAAUUUAACAAUUAAUUUGUAACAUUUCUUCACACCUUAAUGCAUGUUAUUAUCGUUUCAUGAUUGAUCUUGAAUAUUUUAGGUAAAUACCUUAUGAAUUUGUUGCAAUAUUUGUAUUUUAGGUACAGUUAAUUUUUGUAAUUGUUUUUUAUUCUUAACAAAAAUUUUAAGUAUCUGAAAAGAGUGUACAAUAAAAUAACCUAUUUUUUAUUCUUGUGAUUCUUAAUUUUCCUUAAUCUUGAAGAGUAACAUCAACAAUUGACAUAAUUUGUAUGUGUACAUAUCGGAGUUUUUUCCUGUGUUCAAAAUCAUUGAGAAGCCCUUGUUGCUGUCUCUCUGUUUCCGUUCAAAAUUUUAUUUUGAAUGUGGUUUACAACAAUUAAAUGUCAUCAUGUAUAUUCU